UGAAUGCACUAACUGUAAGUCGCUUUGGAUAAGAGCGUCUGCUAAAUUACUAAAA
rfam:Salmo salar isolate Sally breed double haploid chromosome ssa15, whole genome shotgun sequence.